UUCAGCCAUUUACAAUCCAACCAACAGUGUACAAGGGUCUCUUUUUCUCCACAUUCAUUCCAGCAUUUGUUAUCUCUGAUCUUUUUGAUGAUGGCCACUUAUUCUAACAGAGGGCCAAACUCUUGGAAUCAUCUUUCACACACGACACACUUUCUCAACAAGGACUGGCAUCACUGCUGAGGAAGUAUAUCCAGUAUGGAUGUGACUCGCCCACCUCUGUCGCUGUCACUGCCUGUCACUGCCUGCCACAGCCAUCACCUGCCCUGCCUGGACACGACAUGUCUCCUUCCCUGGUCGUCCUCUGCACGUGCCCUUGGUGGCAUAUUCUCAAAGAUAGAGAAGAAGGGAGAGGAGUGAGAGGUAGAAACAUCAAUGAG